AAUAGUUCUUACUUAUUAUAUAUGUCACCUGUAAUACUAUAGCUGUGAUCAGCUGUGAUGUGCUGUAUGUUUACAGUUCUAGGGGUGCAUCGUGGUGCAGGGGCCCUCCUCUUUUUGACCACAGGACGAUGCACAAAGAUGUGGGGAAGCCAUACAUUCACACACCUUUCUCUGAGCGAUUGGAGCAUCCCUAUGCAGCACAGCAAACCAUGGUGGAGACUAUGCAAGGACAACAUGAAAGAAAGGACACAUACAAAAUGCUUGGCAUGCUACCGGUAUUCAAUUUAUUAGAAAUGUAUUCAUGAAUUGCUGUAAAUAGUUAAAAGCAUUUAUUUGAAUAAAAAUACAAAAAAGUAAUAUCGUAAUAUA